GAGGGUGUAGCGCAGUGGUAGCGAGCAUGCUUUGCAGGCAUGAAGUCUGAGUUUCAAUCCCUAGUGCCUCCA
rnacentral:tRNA from 1 species